rnacentral:rRNA from 1 species
UACGGAGGGCGCGAGCGUUAAUCGGAAUUACUGGGCGUAAAGCGCGCGUAGGCUGUUGUGUAAGUUGGGGGUGAAAUCCCACGGCUCAACCGUGGAACAGCCCUUGAUACUGCGCGACUUGAAUCCGGGAGAGGGUGGCGGAAUUCCAGGUGUAGGAGUGAAAUCCGUAGAUAUCUGGAGGAACACCGGCGGCGAAGGCGGCCUGCUGGACCGUGACUGACGUUGAGGCUCGAGAGCGUGGGGAGCAAACAGG